AGCUUGCUCUGGGGGAUUAGUGGCGAACGGGUGAGUAACACGUGAGUAACCUGCCCUGGACUCUGGGAUAAGCGUUGGAAACGACGUCUAAUACCGGAUAGGACCCUGGAUCGCAUGAUCUGGGGUGGAAAGUUUUUCGGUCUGGGAUGGACUCGCGGCCUAUCAGCUUGUUGGUGAGGUAAUGGCUCACCAAGGCGUCGACGGGUAGCCGGCCUGAGAGGGUGACCGGCCACACUGGGACUGAGACACGGCCCAGACUCCUACGGGAGGCAGCAGUGGGGAAUAUUGCACAAUGGGCGCAAGCCUGAUGCAGCAACGCCGCGUGCGGGAUGACGGCCUUCGGGUUGUAAACCGCUUUUAGUAGGGAAGAAGGGCUUCGGCUUGACGGUACCUGCAGAAAAAGGACCGGCUAACUACGUGCCAGCAGCCGCGGUAAUACGUAGGGUCCGAGCGUUGUCCGGAAUUAUUGGGCGUAAAGAGCUCGUAGGCGGUUUGUCGCGUCUGCUGUGAAAUCUGGAGGCUCAACCUCCAGCCUGCAGUGGGUACGGGCAGACUAGAGUGCGGUAGGGGAGAAUGGAAUUCCUGGUGUAGCGGUGGAAUGCGCAGAUAUCAGGAGGAACACCGAUGGCGAA
rnacentral:rRNA from 1 species